CACGCCGUAAACGUUGAGUACUAAGUGUCGGAAGAAUCCGGUGCUGCAGUUAACGCAUUAAGUACUCCGCCUGAGUAGUACGUGCGCAAGCAUAAAACUCAAAGGAAUUGGCGGGACCUCGCACAAGCGGUGGAUCAUGUUGUUUAAUUCGACGAUACGCGAAGAACCUUACCAGGCCUUGACAUACCGAGCAAUGCUAUGGAGACAUAGUGGAGGUUAUCUGGGAUACAGGUGG
rnacentral:rRNA from 1 species